rnacentral:rRNA from 1 species
ACCAUGGCUUCGGCCAUGGGGAGAGCGGCGAACGGGUGAGUAACACGUGAGCGAUCUGCCCUCGACACUGGGAUAGCCCGGGGAAACCCGGAUUAAUACCGGAUAGCCUCUCGGGUCUACGGGCCCGUGAGAAAAGAUGGCUUCGGCUUUCGGUUGAGGAGGAGCUUGCGGCGGAUUAGCUUGUUGGUGAGGUAACGGCUCACCAAGGCGACGAUCCGUAGCUGGUCUGAGAGGACGAUCAGCCACACUGGGACUGAGACACGGCCCAGACUCCUACGGGAGGCAGCAGUGGGGAAUCUUGCGCAAUGGGCGAAAGCCUGACGCAGCGACGCCGCGUGAGGGAAGAAGGCCUUCGGG